CAUCAGCCAAAAAUGUCCUAGGGGUUUCUUCAAGCUGGUUUUUCAUAAUUUUUGCACCAAAUCCAGAAAGUUUAAAUGCGAAGCUAGAUCGAGGAAAAGAAAAAGUUCGGGAUUAGUAGAUUUUUGUUUACGAACAAGUAUCGAGUGUUAAGAGCUCAGAGGUCGGAUUUGGUCGGAGACGCAUCACACUAUCAACCUCAAAAUCUCGGUACAUAAAGAAACUUUAUUUUGGAAAUCAAUGGCAUGUAUAAGCUAGUAAUAUAAAUGUUAAUGUGAAAUGAAUGUGUAGUUAGCCAUUGGUAUGGCUAACAAAUUUUGGUUUUAGUAUCUGAUGAGGUUAUCUUAUAAGUAUGUUAAAUCUGUCUUGAAAAUAUAUUGGAAUGAAUUGGUUGUGAUGGAUUGGUCUCGGUUUAAAAUUGCAGGGAAGAUUAGAUACUGGUAAAGGGGUUAUAUUGAAUUCAAAAAAAAAUAUAUGGUAAAAAUCUGGUAAUGCCUCAUACUCAUUUCGGUGACGAAUACGGGUAGGGGGUAUUACAUAAAAGCCAAAACUAGUGAAAACACGAGUGGAGUGAAAUUUUCUUUCCGAGUGACUUGCGAGAUUUUGUGGUGAGGUAUCUAAUUUCUGUUAUUAUUCUUUAACAUUUCUUCUUUCAGUGAAUAAUCAUGUCUCGGGAAGAAUUCUCUGCCAAUGAAUUCUCUGUCGAUGACUAUGUUUGCUUGCUGAAAUAGUCUUUUUAUGGCUUGAAACAGUCACCAAGGCAAUGGUACAAGAGGUUGGAUUGUUUUAUGACUACUCAUGAUUUCCGAAAAAAAAUUAGCUUUGAUAGUUAUGUUUAUUUUAAGAAAAAUAGUGAUGGUUCUUUUGUGUAUCUUCUUCUCCAUGCUGAUGACAUGUUGAUAGCAACCAAAGAUAAAUGAGAGAUAAGAAAGGUCAAAGCCUAGCUUAAUAAAGAAUUUAAGUUGAAUGAUUUGGGAGUAACAAAGAAGAUACUUGGGAUGGAGAUUCUCAGAGAUAGAAAAGUAUGUAAAUUGUACCUAAGUCAGAAAUGGUACAUUGAGAAAGUUCUUUACAGGUUCAAUAUGCAGAAUGCCAAGCCUGUUAGUACUCCAUUAGCAGCCCACUUCAGACUUUCAUCGGCUUUGUCUCCGCAAUCAGAUGAUGAGUUGACUACAUGUCACAUGUUCUAUAUUCUUGUGAAGUGGGAUCUCUCAUGUAUGUUAUGGUUUGCUCACGUCCAAAUUUGUCAUAUGCAGUUAGUAGAUACAUGGCAAAUCCCGGUAAAGAACAUUGGAAAAUAGUUCAGUGGAUUUUCAGAUACUUACGAUAUACUAUUGAUGUUUGCUUACAGUUUGGAAGAACUAAAGAUAGAGUUAUUGGGUAUGUUGAUUCUGAUUUUGCUGGAGACCUUGAUAAAAGACGGUCUCUCACAGUGUAUGUCUUUACACUUGGGGGUUGCGCAAUCUGUUGGAAAGUCACUUUGCAAACUACAAUUACUUUGUCAAUUACUGAAGCUGAGUACAUGACGAUUACUAAGGCUUGUAAAGAAGUUAUUUGGUUAAAGAGACUCUUUGGUGAAUUCAGUAAAGACCUUCACAUCAAUACAGUGUUUUGUGACAGGCAGAGUGUCAUAUUCCUUACGAAGGAUAAAAUGUUUCAUGAGAGAACAAAGCACAUUGAUGCUCGGUAUCAUUUUAUGCGUGAUAUUAUUGCUCGUAGUGAUAUUGUUGUGAGCAAAGUUAGUACUCAUGAAAAUCUUGC